CAAGCAACAUGAGUAAGUACAACACAUGUGCUCCCACAGGAAACCUAGAUACGUGCAAGAUACUGAUCCAGAUGGAAGGACAAAGACCCUAAGUCUGCCCACAGCGGAAGAGAUCUGUUACCCUGAACCUCACAGACCAAAGACUGAUUCAGUCAGUAAAUGGCAAACUGCGUGCUCCCUCAUGGGAAAGAGGAAGGAGGACAAAAUACAUAGCUGGGUGUGACAGUCACACUUGUAGGCCCAGCAUUCAAAGGGUAAGUCAGGAGGAUAUCACUCCCAGGUAAGUCUGGACUAUACAACAACUUGUCUCAAAGACACAAAUAUUUUUAAAGAGAAAUGUUGCCAAUUCUAACCGGUCUUAAUAAAAACCUGGAGCCAGGUAUUAGGGUGAAAGCCGAAAGAUCAGAGAAGCAGAGCAAGCUACAGCCACCACCUCUUACCUCACCACCUCCUCAGCCUGCCAGAGCCUCUGCAAGAGAGCAAAUUCCUGUCUCCUCCUACCUUAUAUUCCUCUCUCUGCCCAGCCAUAUCAUUUCAUGUCUCAACCUUCCUAGUGCUGGGAUUAAAGAUUCCAAGUACUGGAAUAAAGGUGUGCCACCACUGCCUGGCUGUUUCUCUUUUAGACUGGAUUAAUCUCAUGUAGCCUAGCGUGGCCUUGAACUCACAGAAGUCCAGACGGAUCUCUGCCUCCUGAGUGCUAGGAUUAAAGGUGUGUGUCACCACUGCCUGACCUCUAUGGCUAACUCUGUGGCUGGCUCUGUCCUCUGACCUUCAGGUAAGCUUUAUUUCUUAGAUUACAAGUAUCACCACAGGGAAAAGUGAAACCUAAUAUAGGAAACCUCUUUUCCCUUAAGCCAUCUUGGAAACAAGCCUCUGGCCUAUCCAAUUUGCACCUGAGGGCCUUUACAGCCAUUGCCACUGACAGGCACGGUGUAAGUGGAGUUGUGUCCUGUGUGGGAAGUACAAGGUGAAGUCUUAGGUUUCUAUUCAGCCUGUGGACACUCCUCAGUCCACCGCCCUAGAACCGGGGCAGCCUGUGUGCAGCAGCAACAGCUGUCUCCACUGAGCUGGCUGGGCUGGGCCUCUCAACUCCUGACAGGAUAGCUCCCUCCUAUGAUCUUGCCACAUAGCAAGGGCAGUUUCUUGAGAAGAUAGCUGCACACUCUGUGGUCUCAACAGACAGGUCAGGAGGCUGCCUGAUGCAGUGAGUGCUGGACUCUAUGAAACACGUACUUUCCUGGCACUCGUAAAAGACCUUAGAAGGGAUGGAGCCUGCAGGGGGAAUCUCAAGACACGGGCCUGACACCUGUUUCCUACACAGAUCUACCCAGAGACCACAGGACAGGCCCCAUAGCUCUGAGGACAACCAUCUCAAGAGCCUCAGCCAUGAAUGAAACUGAAAGAAAAGAGGCCGUACAGAAACCCAUCAAAGCUCUAUGAGAAAAUGCCCCUGCAAACAAGGAAGGAAACAACCCCACCCACCCACCCCUGGCACUUAGCUGGCACAACUGAAGGAUGCAGGGCCCCCACCCAGGAAGAGAAGCUGAGAACAAAGGCAAGCCACAGGCAGAUGAGGCAGAUGGAUAGAUACGCCUUCCAGCCCAGGACUCUCGAAGACAGCCCUGUGUCCCCAGUUCAUGUGCUAUGCGUACAUCCCUGCAGACUUAUAAAGCAAUGUGUCACUCCGACAAACCUCACUUUAAUUAUGUGUUUGAUCAACAGAAAAUGCACUAGUUCUCUGAAGGGCCCACACCUGGAAGAUGGACUGGUUUCUUUAAGCCCGUGAAGCACCAUAUCAGCAGCCUGUGUUCUGCUGUGAUGGCAGAGGCACUUUUUUAAACAUCUGCUCCCUUCAGCAGAGCUCAGCACCACGUUCCUCAGACCACAACUGUGUGGAAACCUUUUGUUUUCCUGCCGCUGUAUUGUUCCUACAGCUCAACAUCUUCAAAUAUUAAUGAAGGCAGAACACUCACACUGAAAAGGCGACCAGACCCCAGCCUCCGCCGCAAACAGAAUCAAUGAUGGGAACGGAGUCUCUUAGGGCACUGUCCCGUGCUGAAGUGUGGUGCAGGACCUGAGGAUCUAACUCCUUAGCUGCUGAGACCUCUGUUGGGAGCUUCCCAGGAGCCUUGAACAAAACCUUUUUCUCGAUGCUGGGACACCUGCAGGCUCCAACACCUGUGAGAUUCGGACGCUUCCCAGACUCUCUUCAUGCCCACUGUCAGCCUGCAGCCCGGGGCAGCAGCGCAGGGCAAGUCUACUCAGCCCUACAAGAUGAAGGUUCUCAAAUGACACAUGUCCAGAGAACAUCAGAAGAUGAAGACUCACCAGCUGCCUAGUGUCUUCAGCACAACACACUAGCAGCUGCAUACUGCAGAAGCGAGGCUGGGAAAGGGGGAGAAGAGAGGCCUAGAGAGAUGGCGGCUUACCCGCAGCGAAGGCAGAGCACAUGACAAAGAACAUCCCCACAGCAAUCCUCUUCAGGGAGGACGGGAGCAGGCCAUGUCUCCUGAGCACUGGGUCCACUAGCUUGUCCUUCAGCGGGAUGAGGAGGAGGAUGAGGACUGCAUCGAACAUGGUGAGCCAGGCUGCAGGCAGCUGUACAGAGCAUGGCAUUAGCUGUCAGUACAGCAGCACCCCAACCACCCACACAUGACCUCCAGGAUGCUUCAAAUGGAGACAAUGACUCGCAAUGCGUGUCCUGAGCUGGAGAGAAGCUCAAUCCGACAGUACUAGUGUUUAAUGGCUCUGGUCAAGCCCACCUCAGCAGGCUGUAACCAAUCAGGAACUAGGUCUAGUGCCCGUGUCCCAGCUACCUGCUCCAACUGCAGAAAGGAAGUCAUGUCCCCUCCAGGUCUCUUACCGUGUGAUGGGUGGUGGUGAUACUUGAGAUUUCUGGAAUCUUCAGAUGAAGACUCUGUAAAACGUACGUGGUCUGCAUCUGGACAAAGAAAGCAGAUGGUGCAGGUAAGCCAGCAGAGCAUCUCCAAGCCCGUGUGCACACACCCUCCCUCCUCUAGCUGAAGAGGUGUGGCACCACCUCUCAGAAUCAGACACGGCAAUUACUGGGUCACCGUAGAGUCUCUUUGAGAAGAGCUGCGAGGCAACCAAAUAAGAAGCUGGAGGGUCCAGAAAUCCAGACCACCCCGCUCUCGGCUGCUGCUUGGGGAAGGUUUCCCAACACCAGGCAGCCAAUCUGAGCCCGUGACUGGAAACUGUGGCGCCUGGUGGCUCACCCCAGCCCUGCACUGCAGCCCCUGCAGCACUCACUUGGAAGUACACUGUCCAGUAAGGAAUCAGAGCCAAGAACACGGGCACGAUCUUGACCAGGGCUUUCACGUCUUCCACUUUGUCCUCUGUGAACGGCCCUCCACGCGACAUCUUACAUGAAUCAAACAGACUGUGUUUAGAAGAUUGCUGAAAGACUCCAAGGCCUUCACUUUGGGAAACAAAAUGAAGGAAUUAGUUCACUUCCACCCCACAGACAAUGCUUGGUAACUAAUCACUUCUGGGGUGGGAAAGCGGCUCUCUGCACUGCCCUGCUUUACGGCCUUCUGUGACUAACUGAAGACUGCACCCACAGCUCCUGUGGCUGACUACAGGGCCUGUGGACAGGGCAGCUGCGUCUACUGCACCCACAGGGAGGGCAUCUCAACCUCAGGCAGCUCCACAGGGCUGCAAUGUGGCCUGGUGCUGACAGCAAGCCCUGUUUCUGGUGACUACACUGGUUUAUCACAUGAGCAGACACUCGAGGGACCAGAGUGCCCUGAUGGCCGAGAAAGCAACAUCUCCCUCUGGGAUGAAGGGGCAGUGUAAAGAAAAGAACCAUGAUAGGCGCUAUAGCAGGGUGAUGAGGAACAGGGCACUCACUCAUUCACCUUUAUCACAAGCUUGGAAGUCCUACAUGGCUCUUUCUGGCCCAUUUCGAAGAGGAAGUUAGGACACAGAUGAGACCAGAGCUGUGUCAAGAUCCCAAUGCCUCUGAGUUGGGGUCAGGACUGGAGUGAGGCCUUCUUGGCUUACAGGUAAAUGCCUGGACACCCACACCUCAUUCAUAGCUGUGGGUUACAUUCCAGAAUACAAUGAAUGCCCUUGCCUCCCUGGCUGCAGUUUUUACAAAAUGAGUGAGGCCCUCCAGACAGCAACAGGGUCUCUCCCAGCUAUACAAUACCAAUAUGGACUGUAGGAAACUGCACUGCCAACCAAAACCAACAGGAGACAUUCAACCCCACUGAGAGCCUUCCAAUCCCAGACACUAGAAUGGCAGCUGUCUGCACUGGAGUUUAUGAUCCUAGGCCCUAUUUCACGAAAUUGUCACGUUUAAUUUUUUUUCUUCUUUUAGAUGUGUGGCUUUGCCUGUGUGUAUGUUUUGUCUUUGGAGACAGGGUCUCACUAUGGAACCCUGGCCAUCCUGGAACUUGCUAUGGAGACCCAGCUGACCUCGAACUCAGGAUUUGCCAGUCCCUGCUAUAAUUGAAAGCACGUGCCAGCACACCCAGCUUGCCUGCAUAUAUGUAAAAUGUACUGUGCAUAGGCCUGGUGCCCUCAGAGUCUUGACAACGGCAAUGGAUCCUCAGGAACUGGAGCUGUGGAAGACUAUGGGUGGUGGGAACCAAACCCAGGUCCUUGACAGACGUUAGCAAGUGCUCUUCACUGCUGAGCUCUCUCUACAGUCCCUUAUUUUACCCUACAAAGCUAAUGUUCUUAAAUCUGUGUAUUCCAAGUUGGGGAAGAUCAAUAAACUAAAAACCAUAACUUA